rnacentral:rRNA from 1 species
UACAGAGGGUGCAAGCGUUGCUCGGAAUUACUGGGCGUAAAGCGUGUGUAGGCGGUCUUAUAAGUGGGGUGUGAAAGCCCUAGGCUCAACCUAGGAACUGCGCCCCAUACUGUGAGACUUGAGUGUCGGAGAGGAUAGUGGAAUUCCCAGUGUAGAGGUGAAAUUCGUAGAUAUUGGGAGGAACACCAGUGGCGAAGGCGGCUAUCUGGACGAACACGUGACGCUGAGACACGAAAGCGUGGGGAGCGAACAGG